rnacentral:rRNA from 1 species
CACCAGGUUGAUUCUGCCUGACGUGGAUGCUAGUUCCUGAGGUUAAGCCAUGCAUGUUUGUGAAGCUGAUUGUGGAGCAAUAGACGGCUCAGUAAUACUGCGAUGAUUUGAUUGAAGUGUGUUGGUAACUACGGGAAACUGUAGGUAAUGGCGCAGAGUGUAUGUGUCAGUUGACUGUGUAUAUUGACAAGUAAGUUGCAGGCCUAUCAACUAGUAGUUAGGGUAAUGGCCUAACUAGGUUGUGACGGGACACGGGGGAUUGGGGUUUGAUUCCGGAGAGGGAGCCUGAGAGAUGGCUACUACGUCCAAGGAUGGCAGCAGGCGCGAAACUUGCCUAAUCUACGGUAGGAGGCAGUUAUGGGACGUAUAGAGUUACGCAUUGCAAAGAGAUGUGUAUGUAUCGGAGGGCAAGUCGGGUGCCAGCAGCCGCGGUAAUACCUGCUCCGAUAGUGUCUAUGAUUGAUGCUGCAGUUAAAGGGUCCGUAGUCGAUAUUAUGGUGUACAUCCGGUGAUGUCUGGGUUUAUGUCGGGCUAAGGUUGUACAUUUGCAAGGGAGCAACGGAUGAGGGGCAUGGGAUAGUUGGGCGAGAGGUGAAAUGUGAUGACCCUGACUGGACCGACGGAAGCGAAAGCGAUGUGCUUAGACGGAUGUGAUGAUCAAGGACGAAGGCUGGAGGAUCGAAAUCGAUUAGAUACCGUUUUAGUUCCAGCAGUAAACGAUGCCGACUGUGUGAUACAAGUGUAUUGUGCUCGAGAAAUCAUUGAGUAUGUGGGCUCUGGGGAUAGUAUGUUCGCAAGGAUGAAACUUAAAGAGAUU